UACGUAGGUGACCAGCGUUGUCCGGAUUUACUGGGCGUAAAGAGCGCGCAGGCGGUCGUUCAAGUCGAGUGUGAAAGCCCCCGGCUCAACUGGGGAGGGUCACUCGAUACUGUAGGGCUUGAGUGUAGUCGAGGUAGGCGGAAUUGACGGUGUAGCGGUGAAAUGCUUAGAUAUCGUCAAGAACACCGAUAGUGUAGACAGCUUACUAGGCUACAACUGACGCUGAGGCACGAAAGUGUGGGGAUCAAACAGG
rnacentral:rRNA from 1 species